rnacentral:rRNA from 1 species
CACGCCGUAAACGAUGAGUACUAGGUGUAGGGGGUAUCGACCCCCCCUGUGCCGCAGUAAACACAAUAAGUACUCCGCCUGGGGAGUACGACCGCAAGGUUGAAACUCAAAGGAAUUGACGGGGGCCCGCACAAGCGGUGGAGCAUGUGGUUUAAUUCGAAGCAACGCGAAGAACCUUACCAGGUCUUGACAUCCCAGUGACCACUCUAGAGAUAGAGUUUUCCCUUCGGGGACAUUGGUGACAGGUGG